rnacentral:rRNA from 1 species
CCUACGGGAGGCUGCAGUCGAGAAUCUUUCGCAAUGCCCGGAAGGGUGACGAAGCGACGCCGCGUGUGGGAAGAAGGCCUUCGGGUUGUAAACCACUGUCGGGAGUUAAGAAGUGUAAGGGGGUGAAUAGCCCUCUUACUUGACGUUAGCUCCGGAGGAAGCCACGGCUAACUCUGUGCCAGCAGCCGCGGUAAUACAGAGGUGGCAAGCGUUGUUCGGAAUUAUUGGGCGUAAAGAGCACGUAGGCGGCCCUACAAGUCAGCUGUGAAAUCCUUCUGCUCAACGGAAGAACGGCAGUUGAUACUAUAGGGCUGGAGUGCGGGAGGGGAGAGUGGAACUUCUGGUGGAGCGGUGAAAUGCGUAGAUAUCAGAAGGAACAUCGGCGGCGAAAGCGACUCUCUGGCCCGUAACUGACGCUGAGGUGCGAAAGCUAGGGGAGCAAACGGGAUUAGAUACCCGGGUAGUCC